rnacentral:rRNA from 1 species
UCGACGAUGAAUCUUCUAGCUUGCUAGAAGUGGAUUAGUGGCGCACGGGUGAGUAAUGCAUAGGUUAUGUGCCCUUUAGUCUGGGAUAGCCACUGGAAACGGUGAUUAAUACUGGAUACUCCCUACGGGGGAAAGUUUUUCGCUAAAGGAUCAGCCUAUGUCCUAUCAGCUUGUUGGUGAGGUAAUGGCUCACCAAGGCUAUGACGGGUAUCCGGCCUGAGAGGGUGAUCGGACACACUGGAACUGAGACACGGUCCAGACUCCUACGGGAGGCAGCAGUAGGGAAUAUUGCUCAAUGGGGGAAACCCUGAAGCAGCAACGCCGCGUGGAGGAUGAAGGUUUUAGGAUUGUAAACUCCUUUUGUUAGAGAAGAUUAUGACGGUAUCUAACGAAUAAGCACCGGCUAACUCCGUGCCAGCAGCCGCGGUAAUACGGAGGGUGCAAGCGUUACUCGGAAUCACUGGGCGUAAGGAGUGCGUAGGCGGGGUAAUAAGUCAGAUGUGAAAUCCUGUAGCUUAACUACAGAACUGCAUUUGAAACUGUUACUCUGGAGUGUGGGAGAGGUAGGUGGAAUUCUUGGUGUAGGGGUAAAAUCCGUAGAGAUCAAGAGGAAUACUCAUUGCGAAGGCGACCUGCUGGAACAUUACUGACGCUGAUGCACGAAAGCGUGGGGAGCAAACAGGAUUAGAUACCCUGGUAGUCCACGCCCUAAACGAUGGAUGCUAGUUGUUGCCUUGCUUGUCAGGGCAGUAAUGCAGCUAACGCAUUAAGCAUCCCGCCUGGGGAGUACGGUCGCAAGAUUAAAACUCAAAGGAAUAGACGGGGACCCGCACAAGCGGUGGAGCAUGUGGUUUAAU